CAAGAAUGAAACUCAAAGGAAUUGACGGGGGCCCGCACAAGCGGUGGAGCAUGUGGUUUAAUUCGAUGAUACGCGAGGAACCUUACCAGGGCUUAAAUGUAGAUUGACAGGUUUAGAGAUAGACUUUUCUUCGGACAAUUUACAAGGUGCUGCAUGGUUGUCGUCAGCUCGUGCCGUGAGGUGUCAGGUUAAGUCCUAUAACGAGCGCAACCCCUGUUGUUAGUUGCCAGCGAUUCAAGUCGGGAACUCUAACAAGACUGCCAGUGCAAACUGUGAGGAAGGUGGGGAUGACGUCAAAUCAUCACGGCCCUUACGUCCUGGGCUACACACGUGCUACAAUGGUAGGUACAGAGAGCAGCCACUGCGCGAGCAGGAGCGAAUCUACAAAACCUAUCACAGUUCGGAUCGGAGUCUGCAACUCGACUCCG
rnacentral:rRNA from 1 species